UUUUUUUGCGCCUUCCUCUCACAGACCUCCUCUGUUCUCACGUAUCUCCGGCCGCCGGCGUCGGAGCCUCAGAUACUGAGUCCUGAGUCACCCCGCAGCUCGGCGCCCUCCUCCACGCAACAGGUCGCCGCCACUCCUAGCCCGACCCAUGCGCCGGCAACGCCGCCUCGUGGCCAAGCACGGCCACGAUUCGGACGAUGGCGAGAUCCGCCUCCUCCAGGUCUGGAUCGACAUGGGCAAGCCCAGCCCGGGGGCCCCACUGCCCCUACCCCAUGGAGUCCGCCGCGGCCCACAGCCGCUACAACCGGCCGCCGGCUCUGCUACAGAUGGCUGCCUCCUCUGCUACCACCGAGCUAGAGCUUCUUUUCCACCACUGUUGCUGCAAUCUAGAGUAGCACGCACGGCGGGCGCGCGCUGCUGCAAACAGGCAUCUUGCUGCCCCAAGGGAGCAAGGGAGUGGGGGCUUGCGACACACGGCGGUUGGGUCUGGUACGCACGGCGGCCGGGUCUGGUACGCACGGCGGCAGGCUGCUACACACGACGGCCAGGUCUGCUACACACGGCUGCCAGGUCUGCUACACACGGCGGCCGGCGUUGCUCCCUACGACGGCCAGCGAUGCUACCGACAGUGCCGGUGCUCCGACGGCGAUGCUACGACCCGCCACCGACAGUGCUGCGAGCGGGCGUCGAAGCUCCGGCGAUGGGCGAGGCUCACGGAGGAGUGACGGGGGUGGUGCUGCACUGAUCCAAGGGGAUGAUGACGAGCCACCACCGCCGGUGCUAGGAUCGGGCAUCGAAGCUCGGCGACGUCUUCUCCGGCGACCGACGGGCGGGGCUCAUGGAGGAAUCGUCUAGCCACCACACGGACGACGACCACGACGCGACGACAGAGUCCGCAUCCAUCGGCGGAAAGGGGCGUAGGGGAGGGGAUCCAUUCGUGGGGCGAAGGCCGCGGCGUCCACCGGCGGCAAGGGGGGCGGCGGCGCCCAGCUUUCUCCCUCCAUCUCUCUCUCACUGCCGCCGCUGCGGCUCAGGUCCUCCCUGGUGUGCUCUCUCUCAUAUCCCUGUCAGCGAUACCUUUUGCAGCUGCUGAUCGAGAUAAGAGAAAACA